UAGAUACCCUGGUAGUCCCAGCCGUAAACGAUGAUUACUGGGUGUGGGCAUGAAGAGUGUCCGUGCCGAAGCUAAUGCGAUAAGUAAUCCGCCUGGGGAGUACGGCCGCAAGGCUGAAACUCAAAGGAAUUGACGGGGACCCGCACAAGCGGUGGAGCAUGUGGUUUAAUUCGACGCAACGCGAGGAACCUUACCAGAUCUUGACAUCCCACGUAUGCCUACGAGAGUAGGCAGUGCCUUCGGGAACGUG
rnacentral:rRNA from 1 species